rnacentral:sRNA from 1 species
GGACAGUCAUCGCCGAGUCCCCGUACGGCGCGAGCCAGGGGAGCCGGGGACCCGCCCUCCUGCCGCUGCUAUCGCGGCUGGAGGGGCCCAAGUAGUCCCUGGGGUGAAUCGGACGCCCGCGCAGCCGCGAGGGGGCCCGUAGGAGACCUUCCUGCUCCGAACCCGUCAGCUAACCCGGUAGGCGAGAAGGAAGGAAAG